AGUCUCUUUAAACAUUAUCCCCGCCCCUUGUCUUAAAGUAAAGAUGGCGUUUUUUUUUGGUUAACUGUAGCAUGAAGGUUCAGACAGCAUUUUAUUUAUUUAUUUAUUUAUUUAUUAUUGUUAUUAUCAUUUUUAAAGAGUUAAGUUAUUUUUGAACGAGUAGUUCAUAUAUACGACUGAACGGUUAUUGAAGUGCUAUUCCUUAAAAGUAGUAUCCAGUAUAGCAUCAAUGAUCAUUUCAGUCAGGUGACUAUACCUGUUACUUAAAUGCAAGCACAAUUAACUCAGAAUUACUGGUUCACUUAUGGACAGUAUUUUUCAUAGACAUCGUGACAGAAAAUUACUGGGGGAAAAAAAAAAACCUCAGUGCUUGAAGCUGAAAAUGUUGAGAAAGCUGUGGAGAACGACUUUUAGAAAGAAAAAACUGAAGGAGUAAAUUGCUUUUUCCAUCGCUGGCUGAUUUAUUAAAUGCAGAACGGUGAGUAGAAAAUCCAUAAUCCCUUUCUCACAUUGGAUUUCUGGUCUUCUUUUUUCCCCCAGAUGCCUUUAAUAAAAUCAUGAAUAUUUAUAAUCACAUAGAUCAUUUACAGCCAUUACACAAAAGUCAGUUUUACUCAAUUACCAAUACAAGCUUUUAGUUAGUUCACAGUGAAAAACAGAGGACAUUCAUCAGUUCACUGCUUAUAAUGCUGGUUUGAAGUAAAGGGCGUCGAGAAAGACAGGAUGUCCUCUGAAAAGGUCUUACAGCUUUAAACACAAUAUCUCAACAGCAAUAAUGACUCAAGCUCAGCGAGUCAGGUAGAAUCACUGCCUUGUUGCGUGAAACCAUUAUCUCUUAAAAAAAUUUGAACAGAAUAUAUUUGCGUCAUCAUAAGCAAACAUUACAUGAACAAAGUAGUGUAAAAUGUGGCACUGAGAGAUUUGAUUAAUUGUACAAUACAAAGUAAUAAAAUAAAAGAUGCAUAAAAACAAACCAAAAUGAAGCAAAAUAAAGCAAACAGUGACUUCCUGGACUGGAUUAUUAAUGGUCCAUUUUAUGACCAAACAAUCAUAACUCAAUCAUGCUAGCUAAAAAACUGAAAUAAUGUGCGAUGUCAUAGCACUUCUACUUCAUCUACAACUCAUCUUCAACUCAGAUUGUCGCAGGAUGUUCUCGUGUGCGUGUGUUCAUGUGG